AAGGAAUAUUGGUCAAUGGAGGAAACUCUGAACCAGCCAUCCCGCGUGCAGGAAGAAUGCCCUAUGGGUUGUAAACUGCUUUUAUCUGGGAAGAAAAGCCGGCAUUUAUGUUGGUCUGACGGUACCAGAGGAAUAAGCACCGGCUAACUCCGUGCCAGCAGCCGCGGUAAUACGGAGGGUGCAAGCGUUAUCCGGAAUUACUGGGUUUAAAGGGUGCGUAGGCGGCGCUGUAAGUCAGUGGUGAAAGGUUCCGGCUUAACCGGGGAAUGGCCUUUGAUACUGCAGUGCUAGGAUUGGGUUGAGGUUGGCGGAAUGUGACAUGUAGCGGUGAAAUGCAUAGAUAUGUCAUAGAACACCGAUUGCGAAGGCAGCUGACUGGACCUUGAUUGACGCUGAGGCACGAAAGCGUGGGGAGCGAAC
rnacentral:rRNA from 1 species